GUAACAACCAAUCAGAAAAAAGUUAGAUGGCACAUAAAAGGCCCUGACAGUGACAUAAUUUCCUCUUUCUUUGUAGCGAGGAUAUAAACAGGUAGAAUAAUACAUAAGAUAAAAAAAACUGAAUCAAUAACAUCAGUCCAACUUGAAAUCCAACAAAGGCAAUCGAGCUCCCAUGAACGCUUUAUACGUGGAAGCAGAAAGAUGAGUCCAUCCUUGGUCGAUAGCCAAUUAUGCUGAAAGAAAAGAAAGAAGUGAAAGGUCUCUGAAGCAGCAAGUUGCCCGCAUAUAAUGUAUAUCGAAUUACAUAAAUAACCAUUAUGCAUGCUAUGCUAGCUGUAUCAUUAAAGUUAAUAAAGUCAAUGCUAUAUAAUUAUACUACAUCAUUAUCCUAGACGGUAUAAAACAGAGAACAAUUUAGAACGUUACAUAACAUAGCCACAAAGGGAGAGAAAAAAACAGUAGGGUGGGAAAUACUCGCCUCCUGUCAUUACUAAAAUUAAGAUUAUUAGUACACUAAAGCUAGCAUAAUCUUCAAUUUUACCAUAUGACAGGAGGCUUCCUAUUUGCAUUUUUAACGCUAUGAAUUAACCAAAAUUAAAGUCUGCCUGAAAUAAAAUGUUCUAAAGGUACUCUCGCGUGUCCAAUCCGCGCAACGCAUAAUAUCGUCAAGGGAGGCUCCUGCCGAUAAUGCCAGUGAAGCGGCCGCACCCCUGACCAAGUGGUCCCCAAAAUGGUUCAACGCC